rnacentral:tRNA from 1 species
GGAGAGGUGUCCGAGAGGUCUAUGGUGACGGUCUCGAAAACCGUUGUGCAGGGUAACCCGCACCGUGGGUUCGAAUCCCACUCUCUCCGCCA